CGUGCAGGCGGGCCGGCAAGUCUGAUGUGAAAGCCCUGGGCUUAACCCGGGAAGUGCAUUGGAAACUGCCGGUCUUGAGUGUUGGAGAGGAAGGGGGAAUUCCCGGUGUAGAGGUGAAAUUCGUAGAGAUCGGGAGGAAUACCAGUGGCGAAGGCGCCCUUCUGGACGACAACUGACGCUGAGACGCGAAAGCGUGGGGAGCAAACA
rnacentral:rRNA from 1 species